rnacentral:rRNA from 1 species
AUCUAUGGCAAUAUCAGUCUGAAAAUGCCUGAUCUUGUCAGAUCUUAGAAGCCAUCCAGACUCGGGCCUGGUUAGCACUUGUAUGGGAGACCUACUAGGAACCUCAGGUGCUGUAACGG